UACGAAGGGGGCUAGCGUUGCUCGGAAUUACUGGGCGUAAAGCGCACGUAGGCGGAUUGUUAAGUCGGGGGUGAAAUCCUGGAGCUCAACUCCAGAACUGCCUUCGAUACUGGCGAUCUAGAGUCCGGGAGAGGUGAGUGGAACUGCGAGUGUAGAGGUGAAAUUCGUAGAUAUUCGCAAGAACACCAGUGGCGAAGGCGGCUCACUGGCCCGGUACUGACGCUGAGGUGCGAAAGCGUGGGGAGCGAACAGG
rnacentral:rRNA from 1 species